GCCAACAUGGAUUAGUGGUUUGGAUGUUGGAUUAUGACUCUGGAGACCAAGGUUCAAAUCCCAGCUUUGCCA